ensembl:misc_RNA Metazoa_SRP Metazoan signal recognition particle RNA
GCCAGGCGUGGUGGCCCAUGCCUGUAAUCCCAGCACUCUGGGAGGCUGAGGCGGGUGGAUCACCUGAGGUCAGGAGUUAGAGACUAGCCUGGCCAACAUGGUGAAACCCCGUCUCUA